CCUACGGGAGGCAGCAGUGAGGAAUAUUGGUCAAUGGGCGCGAGCCUGAACCAGCCAAGUCGCGUGAAGGAUGACGGCCCUAGGGGUUGUAAACUUCUUUUGUCGGGGAGUAAAGUGCGGCACGUGUGCGGUUUUGAGAGUACUCUGAGAAUAAGCAUCGGCUAACUCCGUGCCAGCAGCCGCGGUAAUACGGAGGAUGCGAGCGUUAUCCGGAUUUAUUGGGUUUAAAGGGAGCGUAGGUGGGUUGUUAAGUCAGUUGUGAAAGUUUGCGGCUCAACCGUAAAAUUGCAGUUGAAACUGGCAGUCUUGAGUACAGUAGAGGUAGGCGGAAUUCGUGGUGUAGCGGUGAAAUGCGUAGAUAUCACGAAGAACUCCGAUUGCGAAGGCAGUUCACUGGACUGCAACUGACACUGAGGCUCGAAAGUGUGGGUAUCAAACAGGAUUAGAUACCCCGGUAGUC
rnacentral:rRNA from 1 species